GUGGAAGGAGGACCGAGAGUCUUGAAAG
rnacentral:piRNA from 1 species